CCAUCAGAAGCUGAAAUGGAUGCCAGCACCGCUUUGCGAAAGCGGAGGAUGAAGGUUCGAGUCCUUCCUGAUGGU
rnacentral:tRNA from 1 species